rnacentral:rRNA from 1 species
GACGAACGCUGGCGGCGUGCUUAACACAUGCAAGUCGAACGGAAAGGCCCUGCUUUUGUGGGGUGCUCGAGUGGCGAACGGGUGAGUAACACGUGAGUAACCUGCCCUUGACUUUGGGAUAACUUCAGGAAACUGGGGCUAAUACCGGAUAGGAGCUCCUGCUGCAUGGUGGGGGUUGGAAAGUUUCGGCGGUUGGGGAUGGACUCGCGGCUUAUCAGCUUGUUGGUGGGGUAGUGGCUUACCAAGGCUUUGACGGGUAGCCGGCCUGAGAGGGUGACCGGCCCCAUUGGGACUGAGAUAGCGCCCAGACUCCUACGGGAGGCAGCAGUGGGGAAUAUUGCACACUGGGCGGAAGCCUGAUGCAGCAACGCCGCGUGCGAGAUGACGGCCUUCGGGUUGUAACCCGCUUUCGCCUGUGACGAAGCGUGAGUGACGGUAAUGGGUAAAGAAGCACCGGCUAACUACGUG